AUUGAACGCUGGCGGCAGGCCUAACACAUGCAAGUCGAACGAGCGGCGGACGGGUGAGUAAUGUAUGGGAAACUGCCUGAUGGAGGGGGAUAACUACUGGAAACGGUAGCUAAUACCGCAUACCAUCAGAUGUGCCCAGAUGGGAUUAGCUUGUGGGUGGGGUAACGGCUCACCAAGGCGAAGAUCCCUAGCUGGUCUGAGAGGAGGAUCUGCCACACUGGAACUGAGACACGGCCCAGACUCCUACGGGAGGCAGCAGUGGGGAAUUUUGCACAAUGGGCGAAAGCCUGAUGCAGCCAUGCCGCGUGUGUGAAGAAGGCCUUCGGGUUGUAAAGUACUUUCAGCGGGGAGGCGUUACCCGCAGAAGAAGCACCGGCUAACUCCGUGCCAGCAGCCGCGGUAAUUC
rnacentral:rRNA from 1 species